CCUACGGGAGACAGCAGUGGGGAAUAUUGCACAAUGGGGGAAACCCUGAUGCAGCGACGCCGCGUGAGUGAAGAAGUAAUUCGUUAUGUAAAGCUCUAUCAGCAGGGAAGAAAAUGACGGUACCUGAGGAAGAAGCCCCGGCUAACUACGUGCCAGCAGCCGCGGGAAUACGUAGGGGGCAAGCGUUAUCCGGAUUUACUUGGUGGAAAGGGAACGUAGACGGCAGUGCAAGUCUGGAGUGAAAGGCGGGGGCUCAACCCCCGGCAUGCUCUGGAAACUGUACGGCUGGAGUGCAGGAGAGGUAAGUGGAAUUCCUAGUGUAGCGGUGAAAUGCGUAGAUAUUAGGAGGAACACCAGUGGCGAAGGCGGCUUACUGGACUGUAACUGACGUUGAGGCUCGAAAGCGUGGGGAGCAAACAGGAUUAGAUACCCUGGUAGUC
rnacentral:rRNA from 1 species